GGUGAUGGCCCUGGCGGGAGGGAGCCCAGACCUGGACUCUAAGACACAAGUCCAGGCCCUACGGGGCGCAUCAGUCGCGAAACCUUCACACUGGGGGAAACCCUGAUGAGGGAAUUCCUAGUGCCUGCAUUUUUUGUAGGCUUUUAUCUAGUGUAGAUAGCUAGAAAAAUAAGGGCCGGGUAAGACGGGUGCCAGCCGCCGCGGUAAUACCCGCGGCCCAAGUGGUGGUCGAUAUUAUUGAGUCUAAAACGUCCGUAGCCGGUUCAGUAAAUCUUUGGGUAAAUCGGCCAGCUUAACUGACCGAAUUCCGAACAGACUGCUGAACUUGGGACCGGGAGAGGCCAGAGGUACUUCUGGGGUAGGGGUAAAAUCCUGUAAUCCUAGAAGGACCACCGGUGGCGAAGGCGUCUGGCUAGAACGGAUCCGACGGUGAGGGACGAAGCCCUGGGGCGCAAACGGGAUUAGAUACCCCGGUAGUCCAGGGUGUAAACGCUGCACGCUUGGUGUUGGGGGUCCUUCGGGGGCGCCCAGUGCCGGAGAGAAGUUGUUAAGCCUGCUACUUGGGGAGUACGUCCGCAAGGAUGAACUUAAAGGAAUUGGCGGGGGAGCACCGCAACGGGAGGAGCGUGCGGUUUAAUUGGA
rnacentral:rRNA from 1 species